AAUCAACGCUGGCGGCGUGCCUAACACAUGCAAGUCGAACGCGAAAGCCCCGCAAGGGGUAAGUCGAGUGGCCAACGGGUGAGUAACACGUGGGUGACCUGCCUUCGAGUGGGGGAUAACGUCCCGAAAGGGACGCUAAUACCGCAUGACAUCCUGCUUUUGAAAAAGCGGAGAUCAAAGCUGGGGAUCGCAAGACCUAGCGCUUGAAGAGGGGCCCGCGCCUGAUUAGCUAGUUGGUGAGGUAACGGCUCACCAAGGCGACGAUCAGUAUCCGGCCUGAGAGGGCGGACGGACACACUGGGACUGAGACACGGCCCAGACUCCUACGGGAGGCAGCAGUGGGGAAUUGUUCGCAAUGGGCGCAAGCCUGACGACGCAACGCCGCGUGGAGGACGAAGAUCUUCGGGUCGUAAACUCCUGUCGAGCGGGACGAACGCUUCGCGGAUGAAUAAUCCGCGGAAUUGACGGUACCGCUAAAGGAAGCCCCGGCUAACUCCGUG
rnacentral:rRNA from 1 species